rnacentral:rRNA from 1 species
GCACAUCGGUACCAUGAACCUGCUCCAGCCAAACCGGGUAAGACGGUAAGCCGCCGGCGGCAAACAUCCUCCGCCGGUUUUCUUCGACAUGCUGCAGAUUGUCGCCGCAAUGGGCGCCCAGGUUGAGCGAGUCAUAGGGCGGCAGACUCACGCCGCCGAUGCGGGUAGAACUACAGGCCGCCACGCUGCCGGGCAUUGGCCACUGCGGUACAAUCAGUUUAGUCAUAACCAGUCAAUAUCGUCCUUAUGGGCUUCAAAAUCGGCGCGCAUCGCCUCGAUGAGCUCGACCAUAUCUUGUGGGAUGGGCGCGUGCCACUCCAUUUCAAUGCCGGUAAUCGGGUGGUACAGACGUAGCAUGGUGGCGUGCAGCGCCUGGCGGUCGAAUUUACGCAGCGCGGUGAUGAACUCCUCCGACGCCCCCUUCAACUCAAAUGAAUUGACGGGGGCCCGCACAAGCGGUGGAGCAUGUGGUUUAAUUCGAUGCAACGCGAAGAACCUUACCUGGUCUUGACAUCCACAGAACUUAGCAGAGAUGCUUUGGUGCCUUCGGGAACUGUGAGACAGGUGCUGCAUGGCUGUCGUCAGCUCGUGUUGUGAAAUGUUGGGUUAAGUCCCGCAACGAGCGCAACCCUUAUCCUUUGUUGCCAGCGGUCCGGCCGGGAACUCAAAGGAGACUGCCAGUGAUAAACUGGAGGAAGGUGGGGAUGACGUCAAGUCAUCAUGGCCCUUACGACCAGGGCUACACACGUGCUACAAUGGCAUAUACAAAGAGAAGCGACCUCGCGAGAGCAAGCGGACCUCAUAAAGUAUGUCGUAGUCCGGAUUGGAGUCUGCAACUCGACUCCAUGAAGUCGGAAUCGCUAGUAAUCGUAGAUCAGAAUGCUACGGUGAAUACGUUCCCGGGCCUUGUACACACCGCCCGUCACACCAUGGGAGUGGGUUGCAAAAGAAGUAGGUAGCUUAACCUUCGGGAGGGCGCUUACCACUUUGUGAUUCAUGACUGGGGUGAAGUCGUAACAAGGUAACCGUAGGGGAACCUGCGGUUG